AGUGAACGCUGGCGGUAGGCCUAACACAUGCAAGUCGAACGGCAGCACAGUAAGAGCUUGCUCUUACGGGUGGCGAGUGGCGAACGGGUGAGGAAUACAUCGGAAUCUACUUUUUCGUGGGGGAUAACGUAGGGAAACUUACGCUAAUACCGCAUACGACCUACGGGUGAAAGCAGGGGAUCUUCGGACCUUGCGCGAUUGAAUGAGCCGAUGUCGGAUUAGCUAGUUGGCGGGGUAAAGGCCCACCAAGGGGACGAUCCGUAGCUGGUCUGAGAGGAUGAUCAGCCACACUGGAACCGAGACACGGUCCAGACUCCUACGGGAGGCAGCAGUGGGGAAUAUUGGACAAUGGGCGCAAGCCUGAUCCAGCCAUACCGCGUGGGUGAAGAAGGCCUUCGGGUUGUAAAGCCCUUUUGUUGGGAAAGAAAUCCAGCCGGCUAAUACCUGGUUGGGAUGACGGUACCCAAAGAAUAAGCACCGGCUAACUUCGUGCCAGCCGCCGCCGUAACAC
rnacentral:rRNA from 1 species